rnacentral:rRNA from 1 species
AUUGAACGCUGGCGGCAGGCCUAACACAUGCAAGUCGAGCGGAGCGGCGGACGCGUGAGUAAUGCCUACGAAUCUGUCUGGUCGUGGGGGAUAACGUCCGGAAACGGGCGCUAAUACCGCAUACUAUCACAUGAGCUUAGGUCGGAUUUGCUAGUUGGUGGGUUAAUGGCCUACCAAGGCGACGAUCCGUAACUGGUCUGAGAGGAUGAUCAGUAACACUGGAACUGUGACACGGUCCAGACUCCUAAGGGAGGCAGCAGUGGGGAAUAUUAGACAAUGGGCGAAAGCCUGAUCGAGCCAUGCCGCGUGUGUGAAGAAGGGCUUCGGAUUGUAAAGCACUUUAAGUUGGGAGACGUUACCAACAGAAUAAGCACCGGAUAACUUCGUGCCAGCCGCCGCGGUAAUUC